CCUACGGGUGGCAGCAGUGGGGAAUAUUGCACAAUGGGGGAAACCCUGAUGCAGCGACGCCGCGUGAGUGAGGAAGUAUUUCGGUAUGUAAAGCUCUAUCAGCAGGGAAGAAAAUGACGGUAACUGACUAAGAAGCCCCGGCUAACUACGGGCCAGCAGCCGCGGUAAUACGUAGGGGGCAAGCGUUCUCCGGAUUGACUGGGUGUAAAGGGAGCGUAGACGGCUAGGCAAGUCAGAAGUGAAAGCCCAGGGCUCAACCUUGGGACUGCUUUUGAAACUGAGUAGCUAGAGUGCAGGAGAGGUAAGCAGAAUUCCUAGUGGAGCGGUGAAAUGCGUAGAUAUUAGGAGGAACACCAGUGGCGAAGGCGGCUUACUGGACGGUAACUGACGUUGAGGCGCGAAAGCGUGGGGAGCAAACAGGAUUAGAUACCCCGGUAGUC
rnacentral:rRNA from 1 species